CUAAAACUAAAAUGAAAGCUGAAAUAUAUAUAAAGCUAAUUUUACAUUUUAAUAAUAAUAUUAAUACUGAAAUAAGACUGCUCAGGAAUGUGAAGAAGAAGGAAGAUCUUUAAUUCAGCCUUAUAUGUGAUUUUCUUCUUCUUCUUUUGGCGGGUCUGGACGUGUUUUCCUGAGCACAGGAAGUCCUCUGAAGCCUCGCUGUGUGUCUUUAUUGUUUUUUAAUGCAGUGUGUUCAUGGAGAAAUCAGUGAGGAGACGCUCUGUCUGAUGCCUGAGCAUGAAGAGGACACCAAUAUCUGAGAGAUGGCUUACACUUCACCAAACACAAACAGACAGGAAUUAUGGAGCUUUGAUGUCAUCCUGAUGUUUGGAAUUCUCAUCUCCAUGGCAACACCGGAUUCCUGCUGUAUGAUGUCACUGUUUCUAUUCCAGAAACACACCUGCUUCUGCACACAACACAAAGAUACUGUUAUUUUUAUAGUUUUACAGUUCUCUCGUUGUAAGGAAAACAUGGGUUUGCAAGCUGAGGUCAGGCAUUCAUAAAGGGCAUCUUUGAAAACACUGUAUUUCUAAGGCUGUUAAAGUUAAUGAGUGCGCUGAAGAUAUUAAAUAAAUUCAUUGUUUUUUUAUGUUGUUUUUGAGAAA
ensembl:lncRNA